AAUGCUUAAAUUAGAAUAUGAUGCCAGUACUGAUAGAAAAUAUUUUUGCUUAUACUUUUCUAGGUCUCAGGGUGGUGAACUUCUUAUCUGAAUUCCUAAACAGUGAGCUUAUGGUCCAUUGGAUGGCAAUGAAGAGAGGCAAUGAGUUACUGAAAGGAAAACUUAUUUCAUCACCUGUCAAGACUUAUCAAAAUGGAAUUCCUCUAUGAAAGCUUGAUAUUAGAGCUUUAGGAAGUUCAAAGUAAAAUAUGUAACUAUGGAAAAAGAAAUGAUAAGAAGUAAUCAGCUACUUCUAAGGUGAUCUUAUGGGCCUUAUUAAUUUGUCAGUUUCUUUGGUUAAUGUACUCAAUUACACAUGUGAAUCUGGAUUUCACUUUAAUUACUACAGAAUGUUAAGUAAACAAUUUUACUUUUGUUGUUUAGUUAAUUUUCAGUUUAUCUCUUCUAUAAUAGUAAACAUAAUAAAGAUUUAGCUUUCGACUGAUAAAAAUAAAAUGCAGAUAAUACGGGCAAUUGUGUCAUACAUUUUAUAUUUCCGGGUAAACGAUAUCUUCAGAAACACAAAGUUGAUUAAGUAAACUUGUUAAUUUGAUAAUGCAGCCUUAUCAAAAUGUAUCUUGAAGAAGUUUUUUUAAGAGGCUAUAGGGAAUAACCACUUUGGGGCAUUCUAAGGUAUAUGCUUUGGUUACAUUUUUUUGAGACACUCAACAUAUGAUUAUUGAAGACAAGUGUCAAAUAGAAGCAAGGGAAAAUUCCACUGCUCUACUAAGUGGAUUCUGGUGAUAAUGAAAGAAUUUUUUUUAUGAAAUACAUUAUUUGGAUGUGCAAAGAACAAUAAUUUUAAUCCCAACAGGCAUUGUUAAAUUGUAAUUUAUAUUUUACAAAUAUACCUAAUGAACUUUUCUCGCAAGUUAAUUCAACUUAUAAAAUACGUCAAAAUAUUUUUUAAAAUUACACGCAUCAUUAUUUUUCAUCUCUAAUCUUGCUCGUAUCUUAAGUAUACAGUUUCAGUAAAUUUUAAUGAAAUAAACACUCCCACCCAUAUAACCAGCUCUCAGGUGCCACUUUAGCGCAGUAGGCAGCGAGUCAGUCUCAUAUAACCAGCUCUCACAUUAAAAAACAAACAAACAAACAAACAACAACAACAAAAAUUAGUAUACAUUGAAACCCAUUGCAUAGUACUCUCUUGGUAAUUAUAUCCAGGAAAAUAAGCACUGUAUUGACUUCUAGAAGGAUAGAUUAUUCCGUUUUACAUCCUACAGAUGAAG
rnacentral:lncRNA from 1 species